ensembl:lncRNA
CACACACACACAGUCACACACACACAGUCAGACACACAGUCAGACACAGUCAGACACACAGUCACACACAUACAACACUCUUCGACAGUUGACCUUAUGACCUUUCUGAUUCAGAGAUGUUUUUAGGUGCGUUUUAAAACACUCAUCCCUAUCCCCACACACCCUUUCUCUCACGAACAGUCACACACAUGCACACACACGCAGACGCCUGGUGUGUUCUCCUUGUCAAGAGACAAUAGUUUGCCUCCCAGUCCUCCCCAGUUUGACAGAACUCUUCUGUCGUGUGACAUCAGAAACACUCAAACUGGCUUUCUGUUUGGACCCCCCUGUGAUGGGCCUUCUGGGCUGAAUAGGGCUCUAGGAGUGUGUGUGUGUGUGUGUGUGUGUGUGUGUGUGUGUGUGUGUGUGUGUGUGUGUGUGUGGCCGUGCGUAUGUGGGUGGAUGUUGGCUCACCAAAUGGAUGGCAGGUCCUAACUAGCCAGUGCCUAAGCCAGUAAAAUAAUGGGUGGGGUUGGCCGUAAGCCAGACUGCAGAGUUGGAUAUUUACAGGGAGCACCGGGUAUCUGUUUAGGUCCAUCCUGUUCAAUAUGUAACCCAACUAUUUCAUAUGCAAGUCUGUGCCUGGGUUUGGUUGAGAAACCUGUGUGUGAUUGCUGAGUGUGUUUGGUUUGUGACUGUGUGUUUGGUAAGUGCGUUAGGUGUCAGACCGUCUCUGUGUGUAUUUCGGUUUGUGUAUGUCUGGUGAGAAAAGGGUAUGUGUGUGUGCGCAUGGGAUGUGUAUAUAUGUGUGGUAAGUACAUUUGGUGUGUGUGUGCAUGGGAUGUAUAUGUGCGUGUGGUAAGUAAAUAAGGUGCGUGUGUGUGUGUGUGAGAUUUAACUUUUCAUUGCACUUUUGAGAUUACUAUGCCAUCAGCCUGUAUUGUGUCAUUGUCUGCAUUGGGGAUGGGGAAACAGUGCAGCUAUGUUUGUCAGCAUGCGGUUAGCUGCUGCAUUCACAAACCAUGGCACCCAACCCAGCCUAGCACAAGCACAAUGGACCUCAUGGAGGAAAUACCCUAGCAUGCACUUCUCCUUUUCCGAGCACCAGCGGAUGGAGGAAGUGUUCAGUGAGACCUGUGCUUGUUUUACUGCUGUGGUUAUCUCCAGGGUCAGGGCUGUCUGGGUGCCUCUGUGUGUGGGGGGGGCGGGGGGUGGGGGUGGUUGGUGGAAGAGUUGUGCGUGUGUGAGUGUGUGUGCUUGUGUGUGUGUGUGUGGGUGUGUGUGUGUGUGUGUGCCUGUAUUUAUGUACAUAUGAGUGUGUGUGUGUGUGUGUGUAUUUAUCUCUGGGGUCAGGGCUGUCUCUACCCCUUGGUAGCUUUGCCUCUUAUCUGGGAAUCAUGGAAAUGUGAUGAAACACAAUGUCGAAUUUUGAACCCUGAGUAAAGGUGUGUGUGUGUGUGUGUGUGUGUGUGUGUGUGUGUGUGUGCGCACACACAUGCAUCUGUGUGUGUAUGUGUGUGCCUGAACUCUGCACAUAAUUCUGUUUGUAUGCAUGUUCGAUAUUGUGAAUGUUUAGUUUGAACUGGACUCUUGUAUAGCUUCCAUAGGCCCAUGUUUGCAUACAUCUGCUUGUGUAUCUGACUGGCUGACUGACUGUAUGACACCACUAGUACUAUAUGAUAGUUGUAGAAAAGAGAGGGAGUUUUUGAGUAUGCAUCUUGUAUUAUCACCAGGAAUUUCCACCUUUAAAUAGUACUGAUGGAGCAUUUUUUACACACUGAGAUUGAACAUAGCAUUGGACUAUUGCCGUUGAGCAUAUUACACACAAGGACAUGAAUCAAACAAGGAAGUCUGGUUGAUUUCUAGUGAAGUAAAUACAAACAGACACAAUGGACAUGAACAAAACUCCACAUUGGAUAGACACCAAGGCAGUUUUUUCCCCACGCAAACAGAUUGUGUAGAAUGACACACUCUACCUGUCACUCCUUCAGGCAAGAGUGAGUGCGAAAUAAAGGAGGACUUCCGAGAACCUCGCCUGGCUCAUGGCCAAACAUCUCCUAGCCAAACAUCUCCUAGCUCACCGACCCAGCGCUGGUUAGAGUGGCGCUUAACUCACUGGGCUCCAGCUUGUGCAGAAACGGUCAGAAAAUAGGAGUGAUGGAAAGUGCUGUCUUCUUCUAUUUGUAUGUGUGUGUGAGAGAGAGAGAUAGAGAGAGUGGGACAUUGAGAGAGUGUGUGGGCCAGUUCGCACCUGAUAUAAACAUGCAUGUCCGCAUGCGUCUUGAGUGACCACUUGUGAUUGGAUCUUACUUCCCCGCUCUAUAUGCAAAUAAAAAUGCACAUCAUUUCCGCUUGCAACGAUUUUUUCAGGCCAACUAUAUUUCCCAUCUAACAAAAGUGGUGUGUGUGUGUGUGUGUGUGUGUGUGUAGCCUACACGCCCUUAGUCUACAUGAAUAUUUGCGCUUGCGUCAUUAAUUGUCUGUUUACCUUUCAAAAUUUGAAAUUGAAAUACAUUCUACAUCUCACGAUUUCAUACAACCACAAGUGAUUCAGCUGAUUCAGUGACAGUAACAGAGCUGGGCUGCUGUAUACAACGUUAGUUUGCGCUGAUGUCAUAUGCACGCCCAUUCUCUUAACAUUUUUCUUUUUUUUUAGCUAUUUGUACUAUUGUUUCGUUGUAUGCAAAUACAAUGACUAUAAAGGCUUUUCUAUUCGACUCUACUCUCACUCACUCACUCACUCACACACAUGCAAAGCGGUACCCUAACCUCACAAAAUUAGGUGAUAACGUGUUAUUGUCACCAUUCUUGGUAUGCAUUAUGUGUGCUAUCAGUUAAUUUAUAUUAUAUAAUGAAUGGCGAAUAGGGCAUCCUCACAGGCCAAUAGGGAUGAGGGGAAGAUAGUUUGUGCAUGCAGGUGAAUUCACGUUCGGGCUCGUCUAAUUGCAAACUGUCACGAUUCCGUUGGUGUUUACUUUACUUGUGGAAUAUUCUUGGUGAGAAGAAAUGGAUGGCUGCUUCUCGUUCGUCGGAGUGGGUAGAUUGCUCCUUGUUGAAGCGCGGCUUCUCGCUCCAAUUCUUCGUGACAAACUUCGACUUUGUUUGCAAUCUUGAUUCACUUUAAUCAUGUUUGAACUAUUUCUAUCACUUGCUAGACUCUAGAAUUUUGGGGUUUUGGGAUAUUUUUUUGUCACGUUUAUAAAUGUACAUUUUGGUGUUAAUCUAACGUUGACUUGUGUGUAGAAAGUCAACUGUGUGCGCAUCUGCCAAGAUGUGAUUUAUUGAUUAACCUAUUCAAUACACCAUGCUAUAUUAUCGUUUCUGAUUGUUUCGUUAUUAUACAUUUUAUUGUGAUAUUAAGAAAGGAAGUGUAUUAGUUUCUAUUUGAUAGUUGAUAGUUGUGACUUUAAUUAGUAGCCUUAGUGAAGGCCCAUUCUUUCAGCAGCAUCAGUAGGCUAGUCAGUAGGGCUCUAUUACAACAUAACAAAUGGAUAGUAGACAAUUGUAUGGCAAAGUGCACACAAUGAGCAUGAGUAGACGAAUGAGUAUACAUACUUCCGCUUAUGCAGAGGGUGUCAGUUGAGUAGGCAUUCCUUGAGUGUGGCCCUGGACACAUUUGCGUUCACACGGCUAAAAGAAUGUGGCCAAGACCUCCGAAAUGUGGUCUGAGUGAUCAGAUUUUAAUGUGUCUUCAAUGCGUCUUGGGUGCAUUCACACCUGUACUUAGAGCUGUCCACUUGUGAUCAGAUCACCCAAGACGCAUGUUAAUGCCAGGUGUGAACGGGGUCAGUGUGUGUUUAAGAGAGAGAGAGAGAGAGAGAGAGUGUAUAUGCAUUUGUGAGAGGGAGGGGGAAAGGGAGAGUGUGAGUGUGUGUGAGAGAGAGACAGACAGUGUGUGUGAGAGACAGAAAGGGGAGGAGAAAGUGUGUGUUUGUGUGUGAGAGACAGAGAGAAUAAAGGCCCAGCAGUCACAGUCUGGCUGUAGAAAUGGGCAGACAUAGGCAGACCUGGAUGUCUGAAGAAAACAGGCUGUGUAUGUCCUGUGACAAGAAAGAAGAAAGAGUCACAGUUAGAGAAAGAGAGUCAGAGCUGUCCAAAUAGCAAAUACAUUUGAUCCAACUUCUACCCAAAAUCCAUAUAUCCAAAAUUGUAUGAAAUUGAAGACCACAAGAAAAUGCAUUAUUUACUAGAAACAGAGGAAGACUAGCAAUACUAUCUGCUUAUUACUUAGAUAACUGUGAUAAAAAAAGGAGUGACACAGUGAUGCACCUAUGAAUUCACACUACACGCAUACACACAGACAUACUGCAAUAACCCACACCCUCACUCUUAUACAAAAAGACACAAAUGCACACACGAACACACAAGCACACGCACGCGCACACACACACACACACACACACACACACACACACACGCACACAUAGAUAUACUCAAACAGAGACCUCCAUGGCUGUACAGAAAUGACACAUUUCAUCUCACAUGCAGCCACAUAUCUUAGUGUACUUAUGGAGUGUAACAGGAUGUUCUGUUUCUCUUUUUUCCCCUUUUAAUCAUGUUCUGUUAUUCCUGUGAAUGCUUCGGCAAUACAAUGUAUGAUUUGUCAUGCCAAUAAAGCACAUUGAGAGAACGAGAGUGAGAGAGACCAAACACACAAUGAUGGAAUGACUAAAGGAUAGCGUGUGUGUAUGUAUUUUUUAUGUGUGUGUGAGAGAGAGGGAAAGAAAGGAAGAGAGAGAGAUGGAGAGAAAGUAAGAGAGUGAUGGACCAAAACAAUGAUUUAGUGAGUAAGAAAGAUAGAGGAGUCAGGUAGAGAUGGAUGGAUAGAUGUAUUGGUGUGAGAGAGAGAGAGAGAGAGAGAAAGGGAGAGAGAUAAAGGGGGGAGAGAGAGAGGGAAAGAGAGAGAGGGAGAGAGGGGGGGAGAGAGAGACAGAAAGAGAGAGGGGGGAGAGAAGGAGAGAGACGGUGUGAAGAGAGAGAGAGAGAGAUGGAGAGAAAGGAAGAGAGUGAUGGACCAAAACAAUGAAUUAGUGAGUAAGAAAGAUAAAGGAGUCAGGUAGAGAGAUGGAUGGAUAGAUGUAUUGGUGUGAGAGAGAGAGAAAGGGAGAGAGAGAAAGGGAGAGAGAGAAAGGGAGAGGGAUAAAGGGAGAGGGAUAAAGGGAGAGGGAUAAAGGGGGAGAGAGAGAGAUAAUAUAAUGGCAAGGGAAGGGGAAGACGGGGAGAAUGACAGAGAGAAUGAGUGAGUGAGGGACAUAUCUGUUAAGCAAAGAA